CGUGAACAUGAUUUCUGGAUCAGUUAGUGGGGACAAAGAAGCAGAGGCUCUUCAGGGAGCUGGAACAGAUGGUGAUCAAAAUGGACUUGAUCACCCAUCUGUUGAAGUUUCCUUGGAUGAAAACUCAGGAAUGUUAGUAGACGGGUUUGAAAGGACCUUUGAUGGGAAGCUUAAGUGUCGGUACUGCAACUAUGCCAGCAAAGGAACAGCCCGGCUUAUUGAACACAUCAGAAUCCACACAGGUGAAAAACCUCAUCGAUGUCAUCUUUGUCCAUUUGCAUCUGCUUAUGAGCGUCAUCUGGAAGCCCAUAUGCGUUCUCAUACUGGAGAAAAACCAUACAAAUGUGAAUUAUGUUCCUUCCGCUGCAGUGAUCGAAGUAACUUGUCCCAUCAUCGAAGGCGCAAGCAUAAAAUGGUACCAAUUAAAGGUACUAGGUCUUCCUUAAGCAGCAAGAAAAUGUGGGGGGUUUUACAGAAGAAAACAAGCAAUCUGGGCUAUAGCAGAAGAGCACUAAUCAACUUAAGUCCACCUUCCAUGGUGGUUCAGAAACCAGACUACCUUAACGAUUUUACCCACGAAAUCCCAAAUAUCCAGACUGACUCCUAUGAAAGUAUGGCAAAAACCACACCAACUGGUGGCCUUCCAAGGGACCCCCAAGAACUCAUGGUUGAUAACCCUUUGAAUCAGCUCUCGACUCUAGCAGGGCAGUUGUCCAGUCUGCCACCCGAAAACCAAAACCCUGCAUCCCCUGAUGUAGUUCCCUGCCCUGAUGAAAAGCCUUUCAUGAUUCAGCAGCCCUCUACCCAAGCAGUAGUUUCUGCCGUAUCAGCAAGUAUUCCUCAGAGCUCCUCUCCCACAAGCCCAGAACCUCGGCCAUCCCAUAGUCAAAGGAACUAUAGUCCAGUGGCAGGUCCAAGCAGUGAGCCAAGUGCCCACACGAGCACUCCCAGCAUAGGAAACAGCCAGCCAAGCACCCCAGCCCCAGCCCUGCCGGUCCAGGACCCUCAGCUUCUGCACCACUGCCAGCACUGUGAUAUGUACUUUGCAGACAACAUCCUUUACACUAUUCAUAUGGGAUGUCAUGGGUAUGAAAAUCCUUUUCAGUGUAAUAUAUGUGGAUGCAAAUGUAAAAACAAGUAUGAUUUUGCCUGUCAUUUUGCAAGAGGGCAACAUAACCAACAUUGAUUGAAAAUAGU
rnacentral:lncRNA from 1 species